rnacentral:ncRNA from 1 species
UAUGGUGGAUGCCUUGGCGUCAGGUGCUGAAGAAGGGCGUGGUAAGCUGCGAAAAGCCUCGGGUAGCCGCAAACAGGCGUUAAUCCGGGGAUACCCGAAUGGGGAAACCCGACUGGGCUAAAACCCAGUCAAUCCUUACUGAAUCCAUAGGUAAGGAUGAGCAACCGGGAGAACUGAAACAUCUUAGUACCCCGAGGAACAGAAAACAACCGUGAUUCCCCAAGUAGCGGCGAGCGAACGGGGAACAGCCCAAACCUUAAACGUGUCAAGACUGUACUCGUUGCGUUUAAGGGGUCGAGGGACGUAAGAGGGAUCCGGUACAGCGGAUCCGGUGAGCAAAAAGGCUCCCCCUUAGGGGAAUAGACCUGGAAAGGUCAACCGAAGAGAGCAACAGUCUCGUACCCGAAAAGGAGAGCACUCACCUGUUACGAACCCAAGUACUGCGGGGCACGUGAAAUCCUGCAGGAAUUAGGGAGGACCACCUCCUAAGGCUAAAUACUACCUGACGACCGAUAGUGAACGAGUACCGUGAGGGAAAGGUGAAAAGCACCCCGGGAGGGGAGUGAAAAAGAACCUGAAACCAUAUGCUGACAAGCAGUCAGAGUCUAGCUAUAAGCUGGAUCAUGGCGUACUUUUUGUAGAACGGACCGGCGAGUUGCGAUAUGCAGCGAGGUUAAAGCUUAAAAGGCUGGAGCCGCAGCGAAAGCGAGUCUGAAGAGGGCGAAAGAGUUGCAUAGCGCAGACCCGAAACCGGGUGAGCUACCCAUGGGCAGGGUGAAGCGAGACUAACCCUCUCGUGGAGGCCCGAACCGAACCGUCGUUGAAAAGCCGGCGGAUGACCUGUGGGUAGGAGUGAAAAGCUAAACGAACCCGGAGAUAGCUGGUUCUCCCCCGAAAUAGCUUUAGGCUAGCCUCGAGGGAUACGUUAUGGGGUAGAGCACUUGAUCAGCUAGGGGCGUCGACCACGUUACCGAACCUUUCAAACUCCGAAUACCAUAAA